GUUGUAUGGUUAAGUGACUAAGCGUACAUGGUGGAUGCCUUGGCAGUCAGAGGCGAUGAAGGACGUACUAACCUGCGAUAAGCCGUGAGCAGUCGGUAAGAGACAUUACGACUCACGGAUUUCCGAAUGGGGAAACCCACUUAGCAUAAGCUAGGUAUCGCUGCGUGAAUACAUAGCGUAGCGAGGCGAACCGGGAGAACUGAAACAUCUAAGUACCCCGAGGAAAAGAAAUCAACCGAGAUUCCCUCAGUAGCGGCGAGCGAACGGGGAUUAGCCCUUAAGCAUCUUGGAAGUUAGUGGAACGGUCCUGGAAAGGCCGGCGAUACAGGGUGAUAGCCCCGUACACGAAAACAACCUUGAUGUGAAAUCGAGUAGGGCGGGACACGUGACAUCCUGUCUGAAUAUGGGGGGACCAUCCUCCAAGGCUAAAUACUCCUGACUGACCGAUAGUGAACCAGUACCGUGAGGGAAAGGCGAAAAGAACCCCUGUGAGGGGAGUGAAAUAGAACCUGAAACCGUGUACGUACAAGCAGUGGGAGCCCUUCGGGGUGACUGCGUACCUUUUGUAUAAUGGGUCAGCGACUUACAUUUUGUAGCGAGGUUAACCGUAUAGGGGAGCCGUAGGGAAACCGAGUCUUAACUGGGCGUCUAGUUGCAAGGUGUAGACCCGAAACCGGGUGAUCUAGCCAUGGGCAGGUUGAAGGUUGAGUAACAUCAACUGGAGGACCGAACCCACUAACGUUGCAAAGUUAGGGGAUGACCUGUGGCUGGGGGUGAAAGGCCAAUCAAACUCGGAGAUAGCUGGUUCUCCCCGAAAGCUAUUUAGGUAGCGCCUCGGACGAAUACUACUGGGGGUAGAGCACUGUUUGGGCUAGGGGGUCAUCCCGACUUACCAACCCCAUGCAAACUCCGAAUACCAGUAAGUAAUAUCCGGGAGACACACGGCGGGUGCUAACGUCCGUCGUGAAGAGGGAAACAACCCAGACCGCCGGCUAAGGUCCCAAAGUUCUGGUUAAGUGGGAAACGAUGUGGGAAGGCUCAGACAGCUAGGAUGUUGGCUUAGAAGCAGCCAUCAUUUAAAGAAAGCGUAAUAGCUCACUAGUCGAGUCGGCCUGCGCGGAAGAUGUAACGGGGCUCAAACCAGGCACCGAAGCCGCGGAUUCACGCUAAGCGUGAGUGGUAGGGGAGCGUUCUGUAAGUCUGCGAAGGUGUAUCGAGAGGUAUGCUGGAGAUAUCAGAAGUGCGAAUGCUGACGUAAGUAACGAUAAAGGGGGUGAAAAGCCUCCUCGCCGGAAGACCAAGGGUUCCUGUCCAACGUUAAUCGGGGCAGGGUGAGUCGACCCCUAAGGCGAGGCCGAAAGGCGUAGUCGAUGGGAAGCAGGUUAAUAUUCCUGCACGACUUGUAAUUGCGAUGGGGGGACGGAGAAGGCUAGGUGGGCCAGGCGACGGUUGUCCUGGUGAAAGUGCGUAGGUGGUGUUUCUAGGCAAAUCCGGAGACACAACACUGAGACACGAGACGAACACACUACGGUGUGGAAGCCAUUGAUGCCCUGCUUCCAGGAAAAGCCUCUAAGCUUCAGAUUACAAGUCAUCGUACCCCAAACCGACACAGGUGGUCGGGUAGAGAAUACCAAGGCGCUUGAGAGAACUCGGGUGAAGGAACUAGGCAAAAUAGAACCGUAACUUCGGGAGAAGGUUCGCUCUUGACAGUGAAGUCCCUUGCGGAUGGAGCAGUUGGGAGUCGCAGUGACCAGAUGGCUGGGACUGUUUAUCAAAAACACAGCACUCUGCAAACACGAAAGUGGACGUAUAGGGUGUGACACCUGCCCGGUGCCGGAAGGUUAAUUGAUGGGGUUAGCGCAAGCGAAGCUCUUGAUCGAAGCCCCGGUAAACGGCGGCCGUAACUAUAACGGUCCUAAGGUAGCGAAAUUCCUUGUCGGGUAAGUUCCGACCUGCACGAAUGGUGUAACCAUGGCCAUGCUGUCUCCACCCGAGACUCAGUGAAAUCGAAUUCGCCGUGAAGAUGCGGUGUACCCGCGGCUAGACGGAAAGACCCCGUGAACCUUUACUACAGCUUGGCACUGAACAUUGAACCUACAUGUGUAGGAUAGGUGGGAGGCUUUGAAGGCGUGACGCCAGUUGCGCUGGAGCCGUCCUUGAAAUACCACCCUUGUAUGUUUGAUGUUCUAACGCAGGCCCGUGAAUCCGGGUCGCGGACAGUGCCUGGUGGGUAGUUUGACUGGGGCGGUCUCCUCCCAAAGAGUAACGGAGGAGCACGAAGGUUGGCUAAUCCUGGUCGGACAUCAGGAGGUUAGUGCAAUGGCAUAAGCCAGCUUAACUGCGAGACGGACAGGUCGAGCAGGUACGAAAGUAGGUCAUAGUGAUCCGGUGGUUCUGAAUGGAAGGGCCAUCGCUCAACGGAUAAAAGGUACUCCGGGGAUAACAGGCUGAUACCGCCCAAGAGUUCAUAUCGACGGCGGUGUUUGGCACCUCGAUGUCGGCUCAUCACAUCCUGGGGCUGAAGUCGGUCCCAAGGGUAUGGCUGUUCGCCAUUUAAAGUGGUACGCGAGCUGGGUUCAGAACGUCGUGAGACAGUUCGGUCCCUAUCUGCCGUGGGCGUUGGAUGAUUGAAGGGAGUUGCUCCUAGUACGAGAGGACCGGAGUGAACGAACCUCUGGUGUUCGGGUUGUCACGCCAGUGGCACUGCCCGGUAGCUAAGUUCGGAAUCGAUAACCGCUGAAAGCAUCUAAGCGGGAAGCGAGCCCUGAGAUGAGUCAUCCCUGACCCCUUGAGGGUCCUAAAGGGCCGUUGGAGACCACAACGUUGAUAGGUGGGGUGUGUAAGCGCGGCGACGUGUUGAGCUAACCCAUACUAAUUACCCGUGAGGCUUAACCAUACAACACCCAAGAAGUGUUCUG
rnacentral:rRNA from 1 species